ensembl:lncRNA
GUAGAAACAGCCAUGAUUUCUGUACACAGGUCCACCUGGCUCUGUAUGCACAUCCUGAGGUUGGCCAAACCACUUUGGACAAAUACAGUGUCAUCCUUCUACUGCCUGACGCUUCUUCCUGGCGAUGCACACAUUAUGGACUUCCUGAGUCCAAGAUAGCAUUACAUUUUUCUCUUUAAUGAUAUAGUGGCCUCUUUUUCUUUUUUUCUUUUCUUUUAAGUAAGCAAAGGAAAAAAAAUAAAAGAACCCCAAAUACCUCAUUCUGAUUAUUCUGUUUCUAUGUCUUUUACAUGACUAAUGCUUGGGAUAUUCUUGAGCUUUGGUAUCAUGAAAAAUGGAGAACAAUAGAUUUCCUAUUCAGGUUUUCUGUAUUGCCCAGAAUUUUGUAGAGCACUGACCUGAUGUCCCUUUUUGCCAUGCUAGGUAAUUCUCUAUAGACUUGUUUUGUUGUUGUUGUUGUUGUUUUUUUCUCUUCACUUUUGUUUUUCUGCUAUAUCCAUUUUUAGAUAUGGUGAUCAGAACUGUGCAUGCCUUGUUUAAGAUGCGUAUCUAUUUACUGGGAAGAAAAUGCUUUCUGUUUUAUUCUCUGUUCUUAAUCUUUGCUAAUCAUCUGCUCAUUGUUUUGACCACUAAUGAGUUAUUUUCAAAAACCUAUCCACUAUAGUUCUGGGUUUUGUUUUUUUGUUUGUUUGUUUCUUAUUCAUAUACAGCUAGUUUAGAACUCAUUAGCGCGUACGGUUAAUUAAGGUUGUUUUUUCCCUCUGUGGAUCACUGUGCUUUAGCAACAUUGAAUUUAAUCUGCCCAUUUUACCAUCCAGCUGCUCAGUCUCCUCCUGCAACUGUUGUCAGUCCAUUUUAUUCUUUUACUGUGCUGAAUUAUUGCCAUCAGAGAUCUUUGUCAUAUAGUUCACCCUUUUCACAUAAUCUAUGAGUGUGUUGAACACAAAGAUAAUUAAUAGAUGCAAGCGGUAGCUUCCUCUACAGGUUGAAGACUGAUUGUUUUUAUGCCUUUUAUUUUGUAUCUCAACAUACUCUUAAUCCAUAACAGGACCCAUUUCUUAGAAAGAGCUUAGUCCUGUUAGUGUUAUGCAAGCCCAUUUUGGAAACCCCAACACGGUUCACUCCUGGCCACAUGCUUGGCGAUCCCUUCAAGGAACACCAAUAGCUGGCUGUAUGGCUGGGUGCCAAAACAGGCAAUUCCAUAUUCUUCUGCACUGUAAAAACAGAUGUAAAGCAUUGAUUUAGCAUUUCUGUACUGGCAUUAACUUUCUUGUUUAUUUCUCUUGCAUCUAUUUUGUUCUUAGUUUCUACAGGCUGAGAGAGUUUAAAAAAGUUGUCUGAAGCAGGGUUUUAAUAUGGCUUUAUCUUUAACCAUCUAGAAUUAAUGCUCUUUUCUAUUUUCUUUAUUUGGACAUGGCUUCUGCUUCUGGAUGGAUGCUUUUUUGCUAUUAAUAGCUUUCUUUAUUCUGCUGCUUGACCACACAGCAUUUUCAGCAAUCACGUGAGGGUCAUUUUUUAGGACAUAGUGAGCUCUAAGCCACUAGUCUAUCUUAACCAUGCUGUCAAAUCACCUGCAAGUACUUUGAUCCUAUAGGUGCUGAUUUUAGUGUUGUAUAUGUCUGUUUCCAAUACAUUAUUUUCUUUAUCGUGCCUACGUGGUUUCAGCAUAAACAGAAAAAAAAUCACAUAGCUGUUAUAACAAGCAGAUGAGCAAGUGUCAGCAAAUCAGUCUGGAUGAGGUGAAAAUCACUGAAUUUUGGGUGGCUGCUUUGCUCCCCUGGGGAAAGAGGUGGCUACUCUUGCACCUGGAGGACUGGGCAUUCUUUGAGGCCUCCCAUCGCUGACAGACCUCCAUGCUGCCCUGGUCACGUGAAGCAGGUGUUUCCACAUCCUUGCUGAGAGAUCAGCGUACUGUCAGGAGUUGUUUGGGGGGGGGAGGGAGGGGAGGAAAUCCAAUGGUUAGAAAUGAGAAUGGAAAGCUGAAUAACCCACAGAACCAUGGCUUGCUGUUCAUGCUUGCUAAGCUAAGGAGUCAAGAUUCAGAGCCAGUAAGUGUUUCGGAAAUGUUCUGUACUUUCUCCUUCUGAGUAAAAACUUUACUAUAUUGAUAGAAAAAGACCAAAGAUUUUGCAGCUUCUGGACUGGAGAGGAAUUAGGGGGUAUCUCUGCGUAGCUGUAUUAGUUGUCCAUGAACAGUGAAUGUCACCACUGUGACAAGGACAUUCAAUUUAAUUAUCUGAAAAUUAACACAAAUAGUUGAGGGACCCCUGAGAAAACAAACUGCAACUAAAAGCUAAUUGACAAAGAAUAGCAUAAAUUGACCUGUUUUCACUGAGCCUUACUUGUGAAGAUCAAAAGUGGGAAUGGCUCCUUCAUGAGGAGUUGGCAGUCGGGACAAUAUGGGAGACGUGACAGAGGCUAUAAAGGGUUGUGACCAGUGUGGGAUGACAGAAAGGGACCAACCAUUCAACAUGUCUUCUGUGGGCUAUUAAAUGAAGCGAGCAGGAGCAAGGUUCAAAGCAACCAAGAGGUUGGUCUUCACUUAACAGAUGGUUUGGGUUUCAUGUGUAAAGCAUAUUUAUAGGUGCUAAAAAACUACAUAAGUUGAAAGAGAGGUUGGACAAGUGCUUGGAGAAAAGACUUCAACAGAUCUAUGAGGUGCUGCUGCAGAAAAGCUAGAGAUAAGAGGAAAGUGUGUGUGUGUGUGUGUGAGCUCAGCGUGUGUCCACAAAAUAGCAAAAGUCGGAAAUUGUGCUGAAUUGUGUGAUAAAAUAAAGAAUGGAAAACAUUUCACAUGGAAAAGGUACAAACCAGGAUGCAGUUCUCUGCUGUUGAGGAGAUCUUCCUAAACUUUAAAACCUGUUUUUUUGUUGUUGUUGUUUGUUUGUUUUUUUAGGAAAUAUUUUAUAAAAUGAAGUUUGAAUUUAAUAAAAUAAAUUAAUCCAUUUGAAUUAAAAAGAAAAGUAGAAUGCUGAUGACCGUUCUAUUCAGAUAUUACUAUAAUAUAUAUAGCUCUUUCCAUUCAUACAUCUUGAUGUUUCUGAUAGCAACAGGCACGUUGUUUGAAAUCCAUGUGUCAUCAUUACAGACUACACUGAAUCAUUACAAGGCUUCAUCUGUGGCUUCGUCUACAGAGAUGAAUGCAAAGAAAAAAAGUUGUCUCUUACAGUUCUGCUGAAUAAACAUGGCCAGUAGAUACCACAGUCCAGUGCUUUCUGAC